CAAGAAAGAUCACUAACAGACUGCAGGCGUCGAUUGCUGUUUUCGUAUGAAGGAGUAGUGCUUGCAGGGAAAUUGGAACCAUUAGUUGAGUUGGCACCCAAACCCGGAGCACCACUUGAAUGAAGCUGAAAACGCCACGUGAGUACAUACGGAGUUCCGGCCUCGGUAUGAUAGUUGAUUUCAAGAACAGAGUAGGCACGAUAAGCACGUCUAACAUAUACCUCAAGAGCAGCUAAAGAUACCCAUGGGUCGGUGUGACAAAAGAAAGCAGGUAAAACAUCAAAG